AUGAACGCUGCGGCGUGCCUCAUACAUGCAAGUCGAGCGAACAGACGAGGAGCUUGCUCCUCUUACGUUAGCGGCGGACGGGUGAGUAACACGUGGAUAACCUACCUAUAAGACUGGGAUAACUUCGGGAAACCGGAGCUAAUACCGGAUAAUAUAUUGAACCGCAUGGUUCAAUAGUUAAAGACGGUUUUGCUGUCACUUAUAGAUGGAUCCGCGCCGCAUUAGCUAGUUGGUAAGGUAACGGCUUACCAAGGCGACGAUGCGUAGCCGACCUGAGAGGGUGAUCGGCCACACUGGAACUGAGACACGGUCCAGACUCCUACGGGAGGCAGCAGUAGGGAAUCUUCCGCAAUGGGCGAAAGCCUGACGGAGCAACGCCGCGUGAGUGAUGAAGGUCUUCGGAUCGUAAAACUCUGUUAUUAGGGAAGAACAAAUGUGUAAGUAACUAUGCACGUCUUGACGGUACCUAAUCAGAAAGCCACGGCUAACUACGUG
rnacentral:rRNA from 1 species